ensembl:lncRNA
AUGAGGAGGAAGAGGAGGAGGAGGAGGAGGAGGAGGAAGACAACCUCCUCCCCUCCGCUCGGGCGACCAGUGAAGGUCUGGCGCUUUCUCCGGCCCCCAGGCCCCGGCUCCCGGGAGGCCGUGGCCCCUGCUCCCACCCUCCGCAACUUUCCCUCCGCUCGCACCCGCCUCUCCUCCGGGACCGGGCCUGUCGGGCUCCCUCCCCCGGCGGCCGGCCCCGGGCCGCGGCGCCUCCUCCUAAAAUGGCAGGUCCCUCCCUCCGCCCGGCCGGCCUCGGCGCGGGCCCGGCUGCAGGCCGCGGGGGGAGCCGGGCGCCGGGCCGGGCGGGGCCGCGGCCGGGCCGGACACUCACCGGGACGAUGGCGGGGCGCUCGCGCCGCUCCCUCCGGUGAGUCUCAGCCUCGGGCUCCCGCCGCUGCGCUCCCGCCGCGGCCUCCGCAGCCAGCGCCGCCCCGGCCGCUUCUCUCCGCCCCCGGCGCUCCCGGCUCCGCGGCCGAGCCGCAGCCUUCUCAGUCUCUCUCCGGCUCCGCGGUUCCAGCGGCGCCCGGGGCCGGGGAGGCGACAGCCCCCUCCCCGGCAAAUACCGCAGUCCCCGGACCCCGACUCCCGGCGGCGGGGCCGCGCGGCCCGGCGCGGCGCGGAGGGCGGCGGCGGCGAGGCCGGGCGCCGAGUCGCGGCCGCUCCCGGCGGCUUCUUCCCGAGGAGGAUUUUGUAAAUCUCACAAAAUGGCGCGCGCUCCAAACCUGCGCAGCGAGAAGCGCCGGGGCCCGAGCGGCGGCGGCGGCGGCGGCGGCGGCUCCUCCGCCAGGAGAGCCCGAACCGCCCGCCCCCGAGUCCCCGCACAGACAGACAGACACACACACACACUCACACACACACACACGCACGCACACUCGCCCUCGCACACGCUCACUCACACACACUCUCACACUCACACCGGUCCCGCCCGCUCGCCGGCGGCGGCAGCGGCACCAACAGCAGCAGCAGGAACAGCAGCAGCAGAAGCGGCGGCGGCGGCGGCGGCGCCCGCACCCCCCGCUCGAGGUGUCCGCUCCCAGAGCCCGACCUGGGCCGCGAUCAGCAGCAGCGACGGCAGCAGUCUCCCCGAAUCCCCCCGCCGCUCUUGCCGCCGCCACCCCCGCCUCACUCCAAUGGGGCUUUUUAUUAUUAUUCGGGCGGGAAGCGAAAGGGUUUAAAAAAAAACCAACCAACAAAAUGGCGACGGACCGACCCGGUCGCUAUAGCAACUGUCAAUCAAAACGCAAAACCCCGGCUGACGUGCUGACGUCCUCCUCCCGCCCCCCGGCCCCAAGCCGGCGGGCGGGGCCUGUUGCUCGGGCAACGGCAGAUUCCGUUCCCUCCUUUCCCUCUCCCCCUAUGUCCCCAACCAACCACCCAACCCCCUCAGGUCACGUGAAGGAUAAAUUCGGAGCUCGGGCCCGCUACGAGUGUCAGAGGAGGGCGCGUGAUUCGCUCGGGGGAGGGGAGAGGAGGGGGACGGCCGGGCCGAGGGAGGGAAGGGAAGCGAAGGGGGGCGAGGCGGCGGCCCGGCCUGUGCGCGAGCGCCCGCCGCCUCCCCGG